CCUACGGGUGGCAGCAGUGGGGAAUAUUGCACAAUGGGGGGAACCCUGAUGCAGCGACGCCGCGUGAGUGAAGAAGUAUUUCGGUAUGUAAAGCUCUGUCAGCAGGGAACAAAGGCGGGGACGCGUCCCCGGAUGAGUGUACCUGAAGAAAAAGCAUCGGCUAACUCCGUGCCAGCAGCCGCGGUAAUACGGAGGAUGCGAGCGUUAUCCGGAUUUAUUGGGUUUAAAGGGUGCGCAGGCGGUCUGUUAGGUCAGCGGUCAAAGCCCGGGGCUCAACCCCGGCCCGCCGUUGAUACUGGCAGUCUCGAGUUGGAGAGAAGUAUGCGGAAUGCGCGGUGUAGCGGUGAAAUGCAUAGAUAUCGCGCAGAACUCCGAUUGCGAAGGCAGCAUGCCGGCUCCACACUGACGCUGAGGCACGAAAGCGUGGGUAUCGAACAGGAUUAGAUACCCCAGUAGUC
rnacentral:rRNA from 1 species